AUGGUGCUGCCCAGGCUGCUGAAGCUGCUCAUGGCAUCAAUGUGUCUGGAAUCCAGUUUUGCCCAGAAGGUGACUCAGGCCCAGCCAGCCAUGUGGGUGCAGGAGAAGGAGGCUGUGAGCCUGCUCUGCUCCUAUGACACCAGUGAGACAAGUUAUGGUCUCCUCUGGUACAAGCAGCCCAGCAGUGGGGAGAUGGUCUUCCUCAUCCUUCAGAACUCUUACAGCCAGCAAAAUGCCACAGAAGGAGGAAGCAAUGGAGACUCAGUGAUUCAGACAGAAGAACAAAUGACCCUCUCUGAAGGGACUUCCCUGACUGUGAACUGUUCCUAUGAAAGCUCACAGUGCCCAGCCCUAUUCUGGUAUGUUCAAUACCCUGGAGAAGGUCCACAGCUCCUCCUGAAAGCCUUGAAGGCCAAUGAUAAGGGGAGUGAGAAAGGUUUUGAAGCCACAUACAAGAAAGAAACCACCUCCUUCCACCUGGAGAAAGCCUCUGUCCAAGAGUCAGACUUGGCUGUGUACUACUGUGCUCUGGGUGACGCAGUGGCAGAAACUGCAGGGGGAGCUGAGCACAAACUCUGA